CAAGGAAUUUUCCGCAAUGGGCGCAAGCCUGACGGAGCGACGCCGCGUGGGGGACGACGCCUUUCGGGGUGUAAACCCCUUUUCUUCGGGACGAAUGAUGACGGUACCGGAGGAAGAAGCACCGGCUAACUACGUGCCAGCAGCCGCGGUAAGACGUAGGGUGCGAGCGUUGUCCGGAGUUAUUGGGCGUAAAGCGCGCGUAGGCGGCGUGGUGCGUCGCACGUGAAAGCCCGCGGGCUCAACCGCGGAGGGUCGUGCGAGACGGCCGCGCUGGAGGCAGGGAGAGGCUGGUGGAAUUCCCGGAGUAGUGGUGAAAUGCGUAGAGAUCGGGAGGAACACCGGUGGCGCAGGCGGCCAGCUGGCCCUGACCUGACGCUGAGGCGCGACGGCGUGGGGAGCGAACGGGAUUAGAUACCCCGGUAGUCCACGCAGUAAACGAUGUGGACCAGGUGUGGGGGGAGUUGACCCCCUCCGUGCCGGCGCUAACGCAGUAAGUCCACCGCCUGGGGAGUACGGCCGCAAGGCUAAAACUCAAAUGAAUU
rnacentral:rRNA from 1 species